UCCCAGACUCCUACGGGAGGCAGCAGUGAGGAAUAUUGGUCAAUGGGCGAGAGCCUGAACCAGCCAAGUCGCGUGAGGGAAGACGGUCCUAUGGAUUGUAAAACUCUUUUGCCGGGGAGCAAAAAGCGGUACGUGUACCGCAUCGAGAGUACCCGGAGAAAAAGCAUCGGCUAACUCCGUGUCAGCAGCCGCGGUAAUACGGAGGAUGCGAGCGUUAUCCGGAUUUAUUGGGUUUAAAGGGUGCGCAGGCGGAGGUGCAAGUCAGCGGUCAAAUUGCGGGGCUCAACCCCGUACUGCCGUUGAAACUGCAUCCCUUGAGUGCGCGAGAAGUAUGCGGAAUGCGUGGUGUAGCGGUGAAAUGCGUAGAUAUUAGGAGGAACACCGGUGGCGAAGGCGGCUUGCUGGACGGUAACUGACGUUGAGGCUCGAAAGCGUGGGGAGCAAACAGGAUUAGAUACCCCGGUAG
rnacentral:rRNA from 1 species